GGAUCCAGACUUUGAUUCUGGCUCAGGAUGAACGCUGGCGGCGUGCUUAACACAUGCAAGUCGAACGAAGCACUUUAUUUGAUUUCCUUCGGGACUGAUUAUUUUGUGACUGAGUGGCGGACGGGUGAGUAACGCGUGGGUAACCUGCCUUGUACAGGGGGAUAACAGUUGGAAACGGCUGCUAAUACAGCAUAAGCGCACAGCAUCGCAUGAUGCAGUGUGAAAAACUCUGGUGGUAUAAGAUGGACCCGCGUUGGAUUAGCUAGUUGGUGAGGUAACGGCCCACCAAGGCGACGAUCCAUAGCCGACCUGAGAGGGUGACCGGCCACAUUGGGACUGAGACACGGCC
rnacentral:rRNA from 1 species